UCAGCUUUCUGAGUGCUGGGAUUACAGGUGUUUGCCACCAUGCUUGGCUAGGUGUGUAGGUUUGUAAGCAAAUACUUGCAACAGUUUUAUCCCAGAAGUGGAAAGCAUCCAAAUGGAUAGGUGAAGGCAGGAAGGUGGGGUUACACAGGAGAUAGGAGUAACGGCUAUGCCCAAGUGAUGGUGUCAUGGGCAUAUACGUAUGUCAGCAUUUAUAAAGCUGAACACUUUAAAAAUGUGCAGUUUAUGGUAUGGCAAUUAUACUGCAAUAAAACUAAAAAGUAGAAAAAGGGGGAAAAGUAUGGUUACAAAUAAGACAGGUCAAGGAAGAAGGGUGCUCAUGGGAAACUUCCGGGCUAGUAGCCCCGGGAGGGGAGCAGGUUGAUGGGGAGGCUGGAGAGCUGUGUGGGAGAGUUAGGUUCCCUUCUGCACUCUGGCCACAGAGGUCCCAGCCAGACUGGGGGACUGAUACAUCUUCCAAGUAAAGAAUAAGAUAUAUUCUUUACAGACUAGGAUGAUAUACUUUGAAGAUACUUGAUUAGGCUGUGAAAUCACUCUCAAGCGAGAGCUCUGAUCGCCGGGCCUUCAGGGUAUGACAUUUAGAGGCACAUCACGUCCACCUGCUGUUUCCUGGUAACAUUAAUUUUGACGGUCAAGAUGCUGCCCUACUUCUCCAUUUGUACAGAGCCGGAAUGGAAAGCAAAGACAGGCCAAGAAGCUGAUACAGAUUCGAAGAAACAGACACUUGAGGCAGCUGAGCAUCAUUCCUGAAUGUAGCCAUGCAGUGAAGACCCAGAAGUUUCUGCCGCUGGCAUUUCUAGAACUGAUUUGCAUCUGGGAUCGCAGUCAGUUCCAUUCUUAAAGUUUUUUUUUUUGGUACUGGGGAUCGAACUUGGGUCCUUGUGCUUGUGCAGCAGGCGGCGAAACCACUGAGCUAAAUCCCCGGCCCCAUUCUGCUCCAUUCUUAGUGAAAACCAGUCCAGUUCUGGCUCUAGAGAUUUCUCUUAUAACAGGUAACACUUAGGGAAUCCUUAACACCAGUUAGGCGUUGUGCUUUAUAAACAUUACUUCGUUUAACUUUUGUAAAAACCUCAAUGAGAUAGAGUACUCAUUAUCUUCGUUUUUCUAGAGGAAGAAACAGGCUUAGAGAUGUUAAGUAAUUUGUCCAGAGUACUUGGUUUAGCCUGUUUGUGCUGCUAUUAACUGAAUACUUAAGACCGAAAGAACUGAGAUUUAUUUUGUUCAGUAAAAUAAGUAGGAAGUCCAAGAUGGUGGCACUGGUGUGUGGUGCCUGGUGAGGGCCACUUGCUGUGUCCUUGUGUGGUAGAAAGUAGGAAGGAACUGAGAGAAGAGCAAGCCAGCCAAACACUGCACAUAGCCUCUCUUUAAAGGGGCCCCAAUCCCAUUCAUGAGGGAGGAACCCUCAUGGCCUAAUCACUUCUUAAAGGUUUAACCCUUAAUGCCAUCACCGUUGGCAACAGGAAUUUUAGAGUGGACAUAUCCUAACUGUAACAUCCCUGAAAUUAAAGAUGGUACUCCAACUCACAUCUGUUGACCCAUUGUCUUAGUCACUAAGCUCAAUGUCUUCCUUAUACGGAAAAACAUUCCUCAACCUGGAAGAGGUGAGAUGGGUUUCCGUGGCUUCUGACCGAAUGGAUGGGAUGAGAGCACCCGCAGCUAUCACAUGGCUGCACUGCUGCAUCCCGCCUCCUCCCCGAGCCAAAAGCUGCCUCACAUGGCUGCCAUUCUCUAGAGAACGGUCAGAAUGAAACAAAUUACUGUACUGUGGGGAUUCUGAAGUGUACAUAGAAAAGAUAAAUGACAUAUUAUAACCAUAAAUCCAUAUACUUUCUUUAUCCUCUGUCUUCGAAUACUUUAACGUAGAAGAUCUAAAUACAACUGUGAAAAGCCAAUUUCCUCUUCCACUUUUUGAAAAAUGAAAAGAAAUGGCUCUAGUGGUAUCUUCUAAGUAACAAAAUUUUACGACACGCUACUCCACGGCUUAAAGAUUUAACUCGGGGUGAAAACUACACUACAGAUGAACACACGACACAGAAUUUGAAAGACAAAAUCCUUAACAUCUUUUGCUAUCUUUUUGACAGACAGAGUCUGUUACACUAGGCUUUAAAAUUGGCCGUUCCUUAGCUAUCGUAAUUUUUUUUUUUUGACUCUCACAUGCUAGGCAAAUGCUCUACUAUUGAGCUGUAU